rnacentral:rRNA from 1 species
AGAUUGAACGCUGGCGGCAUGCCUAACACAUGCAAGUCGAACGGCAGCACAGCAGUAGCAAUACUGUGGGUGGCGAGUGGCGGACGGGUGAGUAAUGCAUCGGGACCUACCUGAACGUGGGGGAUAACGUAGGGAAACUUACGCUAAUACCGCAUACGUCCUACGGGAGAAAGCGGGGGACCUUCGGGCCUCGCGCGGUCAGACGGACCGAUGUUCGAUUAGCUAGUUGGUAAGGUAAUGGCUUACCAAGGCGACGAUCGAUAGCUGGUCUGAGAGGAUGAUCAGCCACACUGGAACUGAGACACGGUCCAGACUCCUACGGGAGGCAGCAGUGGGGAAUAUUGGACAAUGGGCGCAAGCCUGAUCCAGCAAUGCCGCGUGUGUGAAGAAGGCCUUCGGGUUGUAAACUCCUUUUCGGGGAUGAUAAUGACAGUACCCCGGGAAUAAGGCUCGGCUAACUCUGCGCCAGCAGCCGCGGU